GACCAUGAAAACUUGGCCGAAGAGACAUUCUGAGACAAAGGGCCUCUGUGCCCAGCUGGCUCACACCCACGGAGGACAGCUCAGAGGGCUGAGGAGCAGCCUGCUGCUCAGGCCUCCAGCUGAUGACGCGAUUGGGUCCAUCUGCCAAUUGUGGAUACUUGGACAUGUUUGGCCUGAGGAAGAAUCACUCUGGACAGAUGCCCAAACCAAAGAGGCCUCAUCCAGCUGGCCUUUCCAGGUCUCAAGUGCAAACUGAUGGUACAAUCAGGCAACAUCUUGGAUAUUUUCUUUCUUACAAAUGAUGAAGUUUGCUGAGGAGACUGGAAAUAAGACCUGGGGAAUAAGAAAAGACAAAGAGAAGCAAUGGAUAAAAUGUAUGAAGAGAUGGAAAAAAUAAAACAGGAAGGAGAAGUCAAGAAGAAAAAAGAAAAGGAGAAGGAAUGGGAAGAUGACAUCUGGGGAGUUGAAGAAGAGGGAAGUGAAGAGGAUUCUGCCAAGGACCCAGGAAAUGACAGGCAGCGGAAGGAAGAUGAUGCUGAAAGUGUGUUUCUGGGUAAAAAUGAAGAAGUCUGUGUUGACCAGAAGGAUGAACUGUAAUCUGGUAAAAAAACGAAAACAAAAACAAAACACCUUACAUUCAGAGGCAAAUGAUGUUGCUUAGAAGGAGAAAUGUUCAUGAGGUUGGCCAAAUCUGGAGAGCAAAAUUACUUGCUCUUUUUUAAAAAAAAUGUUAUUAAUUUAAUUUGCUUUAACAAAUUUUUAAUGUUUAUUUUUGAGAGAGAGAGUCAGAGACAGAGACAGAGCAUGAGUGGGGGAGGGGCAGAGAGAGA